GGGAAUGUGGCUUAGUGGUAAAGCGCUUGCCUUGAAGGCAUGAAGCCCUGAAUUCUGUUCCUC
rnacentral:tRNA from 1 species